rnacentral:rRNA from 1 species
GAUGAACGUUGGCGGCGUGCCUAAUACAUGCAAGUCGAACGAAGACUGUAGUAAUACUGUCUUAGUGGCGAACGGGUGAGUAACGCGUGGGUGACCUGCCCCGAAGUGUGGGAUAACAGUCCGAAAGGAUUGCUAAUACUGCAUAAUAUCCAAGAGAUUAGAUGCUUUGGAUUAAAGGAGUAAUUCGCUUCGGGAGGGGCCCGCGUCCCAUCAGCUAGUUGGUAAGGUAAUGGCUUACCAAGGCGAUGACGGGUAGGGGACCUGAGAGGGUGGCCCCCCACAAUGGAACUGAAACACGGUCCAUACACCUACGGGUGGCAGCAGUAGGGAAUAUUAGUAAUGGGCGAAAGCCUGAACUAGCAACGCCGCGUGUGCGAAGAAGGCCUUCGGGUCGUAAAGCACUUUUUGAGAGGAUGAGGAAGGACGGUACUCUCAGAAUAAGUCUCGGCUAACUACGUG